rnacentral:rRNA from 1 species
AGGCAGCANNAAGGGAAUCUUCCGCAKNBGGGGAAAGCCUGACGKGAGCAACGCCGCGUGAGUGAKUGAAGGUCUUCGGAUCGUAAAGCUCUGUUAUUAGGGAAGAACAAAUGUGUAAGUAACUGUGCACGUCUUGACGGUACCUAAUCAGAAAGCCACG